CUAGGAGCAAGCUUCGGGUUAGGAGAACUUGAUCCCGCAGGUACAACCUCGGAGUAGACACCGACAGGCCGGGCUUCCUCCGAUCUACACCUCCACUCUAUAUCUCUCAAUCUAGUACAAACUAGAAGAUCUAAUUCUACUCACAUUGGAUGCUAAGCCUAAAAUAAAUUUUAUUUAGAGGAGAGGUAUUCCUUCGAGGGCACCUCUCAACUCUAUGAUGAACUUGUCUCCUCCAGAGGCCAGGGGGUCUAGUUUUAUAGUCCCCUCAAGUGAACGUGAGCCAUUGGAUCAAACCGAC
rnacentral:lncRNA from 1 species